GUAUAGUUGAGAAACUUCUAGGCCUCUGACAGUUUCACUCCCUAAAAACACCGGGAGAGGAAGUAAGACCCCAGGAAGAAAAUAGGAAUACUCUUUAAAGAGUAAGAGUGUUGGGCUGAGAAUGUGGCUUAGCAAGUAAGAAAUCUUCCAGUAUGGAACUAAUCUGUCAAGAGGGUUGAUAUGUUUGCAAUCACAAGUAGUAAUGGUACAGACUUUAAGUGAUAUGGUCUUGGCAGGAGUUCCCACCCCUCUAUAACUGACCUAUCAUACCCCAUUCAAAUACCCAUUAGAAGAUGCAAUAGUCCAUGCUAGCAGGAAA